rnacentral:lncRNA from 1 species
GAGAAGGAGAAAGAGGCAGAGAAAGACGGAGAAUGACUGAGAAAGGAGACAAGAUGGAACCUAUAGGAGAGGAUGAUGAGCCAGAACCCCGUGGUCCUAGGAGCCAUAAUCAUCUGGGAAGAGGAACCUCUAUUGAGAAAAUGCCUCCUUCUGAUUACCUAUAGGCAAGUCUGUGAAACAUUUUCUUGUGGGACAUUUUCUUGAUUAACAGUUGAUGUGGAAGUAGCAAGCCCAUUAGGGACACCCUUGGGCAGGUGGCCCUGGAUUUCAUAAGAAAGCAAGCUGAGCAAUCCAAGGGAGCAAACUUGUUUUCUACUUGAGUUGCUGCCCUGGCUUCCCUUCGUGGUGGACUAUAAGCUGAAAGGUAAAGGAAAUGCUUUCUCCCCUCCUCCCUGCCCCAUGCUCCAGAGUUGCAUUUGGUCAUGGUAGUUUGUACCAAUAAAAAGCAAGCUAAUACAGUAAUGAAACACAAGAAAGAAUUCUAAGACU